GACGAACGUUGGCGGCGUGCCUAAUACAUGCAAGUCAACUGAAGCAAGGUAGCAAUAUCCUGGUGGCGACCGGCGCACGGGUGAGUAACGCGUAUGCAACCUACCCAGUACAGGGGGAUAGCCCGAAGAAAUUCGGAUUAAUACCCCAUAAUGAUAUUAAUAGGAAUCUUUUAAUAUUUAAAGCUACGGCGGUACUGGAUGGGCAUGCGUAAGAUUAGCUAGUUGGUAGGGUAACGGCCUACCAAGGCUCCGAUCUUUAGGGGUCCUGAGAGGGUGAUCCCCCACACUGGUACUGAGACACGGACCAGACUCCUACGGGAGGCAGCAGUGAGGAAUAUUGGUCAAUGGGCGCAAGCCUGAACCAGCCAUCCCGCGUGAAGGAAGAAGGCGCUAUGCGUUGUAAACUUCUUUUCCGGAGGAAUAAAAUUUUGUACGAGUACAGGACUGAAGGUACUCCGGGAAUAAGCAUCGGCUAACUCCGUGCCAGCCGCCGCCGUAACAC
rnacentral:rRNA from 1 species